CGUGGGUAACCUGCCCAAGAGAUCGGGAUAACACCUGGAAACAGAUGCUAAUACCGGAUAANAACAGAUGAUGCCUAUCAACUGUUUAAAAGAUGGUUCUGCUAUCACUCUUGGAUGGACCUGCGGUGCAUUAGCUAGUUGGUAGGGUAACGGCCUACCAAGGCGAUGAUGCAUAGCCGAGUUGAGAGACUGAUCGGCCACAUUGGGACUGAGACACGGCCCAAACUCCUACGGGAGGCAGCAGGGC
rnacentral:rRNA from 1 species